CAGACAAAAAAAGUUUAGAAAUAUUGUUUUUAAAGGAACAAUUGAAAGAAGAUAGAAAUGAGAAGGACCCGUCAAUAGAGAAGCUAAUGAUACCUACAGCCAUCCAUACAAGGUGCUUAGGGCCAGGGUUAGUGAACUAUAAUCAUACCAUCACAAUAUAAGCAACCAACUAACCUUACUGAGUAAAUCAGAGAGUUUUUUCAUCUUGGCCUCCAUCAAUGCAAUAUGUUUCAGACUGUUAAGAAUUUCACAGGCAAUUUGCUUAACUGCAAAACAAUAUAGUAAGUAUACACAUUUGCAUAAAAAGCUUCACAAAAUUAUGGCAAUCAAAACAUACCUGCAUACAAAAGUAAGCUCUCAAACUCACCGUGUCGUCCGAGAUAGAGCAGCGGUACCCUUUCCACCAGUUAGACCCACGAAAAAGGUUAUAAAUCAUCAGAGUAACCUCUUGAAAACAAAUGAUAUCAAGGGAAUGAAGGGGAAUGAAGUUGAAUACAUAUUUCACAGUUGGAUUUGUUGUAAAGGUUCAAAAAAGUGCAAGCUUUACAAGCCCAUUUAGACGGAGAAGACGGUUAUGUGAAGACGAUUUCACUUAAUUCAAUGGGUCUUCAACAAAUUACAAACAAAAAAAUAAACAAAAACACGGAAACCCAAACUUUUUAUACGCAAAAUAAAGAAAUCGAACCUUAAAAGUCUAAUUCACCAAAAACCAGAAUCGAAUGCCACCUUCUUCGUCUUCUCUGUGUGGGUUAUGUAAGUUUGCAAGAAACCCAAACACUGAACCUUUUCCUUGUAAGUAAAAAAAGCAACCGAGGAAUCGGGGGUAAGAAAUCG
rnacentral:lncRNA from 1 species